rnacentral:rRNA from 1 species
UGGGGAAUAUUGGGCAAUGGGCGAAAGCCUGACCCAGCAACGCCGCGUGAAGGAAGAAGGUCUUCGGAUUGUAAACUUCUGUCAUUGGGGACGAAGAAAGUGACGGUACCCAAGGAGGAAGCCCCGGCUAACUACGUGCCAGCAGCCGCGGUAAUACGUAGGGGGCGAGCGUUGUCCGGAAUUACUGGGCGUAAAGGGUGCGUAGGCGGCAAUGCAAGUCCAUUGUGAAAAGCCCGGGCUUAACCUGGGAGGUGCAGUGGAAACUGUAUAGCUUGAGUGCAGGAGAGGAAAGUGGAAUUCCUAGUGUAGCGGUGAAAUGCGUAGAUAUUAGGAGGAACACCAGUGGCGAAGGCGACUUUCUGGACUGUAACUGACGCUGAGGCACGAAAGCGUGGGGAGCAAACA